GAUGAACGCUGGCGGCGUGCCUAAUACAUGCAAGUCGAGCGAACGGACGAGAAGCUUGCUUCUCUGAUGUUAGCGGCGGACGGGUGAGUAACACGUGGAUAACCUACCUAUAAGACUGGGAUAACUUCGGGAAACCGUAGCUAAUACCGGAUAAUAUUUUGAACCGCAUGGUUCAAAAGUGAAAGACGGUCUUGCUGUCACUUAUAGAUGGAUCCGCGCUGCAUUAGCUAGUUGGUAAGGUAACGGCUUACCACGGCAACGAUGCAUAGCCGACCUGAGAGGGUGAUCGGCCACACGGGAACUGGAACACGGUCCAGACUCCUACGGGAGGCAGCAGUAUGGAAUCUUCCGCAAUGGUGGAAAGCCUUACGGAGCAACGCCGCGUGAGUGAUGAAGGUCUUCGGAUCGUAAAACUCUGUUAUUAGGGAAGAACAUAUGUGUAAGUAACUGUGCACAUCUUGACGGUACCUAAUCAGAAAGCCACGGCUAACUACGUG
rnacentral:rRNA from 1 species